GGGUCAGUAGGUUGGUCGUGCCACCGGUACGUACUGGUCUCACUGAUUCCUCCUUCCUGAAGAGCCGUAAUGCCAUUAAUUUGGUGUUGCGGGGAAACAGGACUGUUACUUUGAAAAAAUUAGAGUGUUUAAAGCAAGCUAACGCUUGAAUACAUUAGCAUGGAAUAAUGAAAUAGGGCGAUCGAUCCUAUUUUGUUGGUUUCUAGGAUUGACGUA
rnacentral:rRNA from 1 species